GUCUCUCUCUCCCUGUCUCUUUCUCUCUGUGUCUCUCACCUUCCCUCCUCCCCUUCAUCCACCCACCAAUCAAUUACAACUCCUGUGUUAGGCGCCUGCUUUGUGCAGGGCAGUGCUGGGCAGUGCUGGGCGGUGUGUAGACAAAGACAGAAAAGACCCAACAGGGCCCUGGCACCCAGAGCAGUUUCUCCUGUUUCUCUGCUCUUGCGCACCUAUUUCAGUUCCAGAUUUUCUGUGGCUAUGAGCGAGGACCACUUUUGUUCCUGUGGGAUUUUUCUUGCUGACUGGUUUAUAGCCUCAGAUGAAGGGUUGGUAGGGACAAAAAGUCAGAACAACCUGAUAUCUUCUCUUGCGUAAUUCCACUUUGUUUUCCAGAAUGACAGCUGGGAAUUGACCCGCCCUUCUCCCCCAACUUCUCCAGGGGGUUCUGGGAGGCGGAGAGGGGCUCUUCCCUCCCCGGCCAAUCACCCCCUCCUCACUUCACCUUGCCAGAAAUAUCAGUCCUGCCUCAUCUUCCUACAAACACUAACAAUAACAACCCCUUCUCUUGGAGACAGAGCUCUUUGGGGCUCAUGCUGGCUGGAACCCUGAGAAUCAGAGGACUGGAGGAGACCCUGAGGGCCUUCAUGAAUUUCUUUCUCUGAGGAGUUUCUUUCUUCAGGUCUGACCCAAGCUGGCCCAUUUGCUGGGCAGUCUCUGCUCUGGUGACCCCACAGAAGUCUGUUUCCUAAAUUCAGAAAAGAUGCUGAGCCUUUGGGUUUUUAGAACAGGCCAAGACCUCCAGCUGGCUCAGUAUGUGGGGUCCAAGGCACUGUGCCCACUGAUAGACUGGCAGGGUAAGCCAUUUGGAGAGGGCCUUCUUUCUCAGCUAGAUGCAGAGUUAGAAGGGACCCCCAGAGGCCCCGGAAUCCAGCCCCCUCAUCUUCAGGGUGGGGAGUAAACUGGCCAGGCAGGCUUUGAAGCAAGGCCUCAGACUCCAGGAGAGCUGCAGUGGGCUUGGUCCCCGAUGCUGCCCCACCCCCUCCUCCCUAAAUAAAUGGCCUUGCAGGCUCAGUGGAGGCCCAGGGGUGGGGCAGGCAGCUGCUGAGAGCUUUGUCCUCUGCCUCCCCUGUUGUUCAGUGUUUCCUGGCACUGAGUCACCAACUCCCGGCAGUGAGGGGCGUGGCUCCUUGGCUCCCAGCCCAGUGACUUCGGCUGCCCACAGCAAGAACCAUCUUUGAACCACUGCCUAGGACACCAUAUUUGGUCUUCUCUGUUUAUCGUUUCAGCCAGCUUCCCCUCCCAGUUACCAGGGACUCCUGGUUGUUUUUUGUUUGUCCUUGACGUGGAAGGACUCAAGCAGCAGAGCCAUUACCCCAAAUGGCCUCCCUUCCCCAGCCAAGGGGUUCUACAGAGAUCUUCUGAUUUCCCAAGCACCCUGUCCCAGGAAUCCUCCUUGUCCAGAUCCAGGCCCACAGGCCCCUUGGAGGGCUCCCAUCACCCUCACCGUCCAACCCCGACGCCCCCUUUCUGCAGGGUGUCCCCGGGGAGAAGCUUAUGGAAGAUUUGUUUGAAUUCUGACGCUCCUCCCCCAGUGCUACAGCUUGUUAACGGAGGCUGGGAGG